GUUGAGUUCAAUCCCCAGUACCAAAUCAAGAAAGAAAGAGGGAGGGAGGGAAGAAGAAAGAGAAUAGGCUAAUCUACUCCUGUAACAGGAAUAUGAAGUGAAAUAAUUCUAACUAUGUUACACAGCAAAGGAGAUUUAAGGCAGCAGAAGGGAUUAACUUUGCUAAUCUGAUGAUCUUAAAUAGGAAGAGUAGUUGGAAUUUUCCAAGUGGGUCCAAUGUAAUCACAAAUAUCCUUAAACAAGGAAGAUGAAGGGACAAAUCAGUGUCGGAGAGAUACAGCGUGAGAAAGAUUUGACCUACCAGUGCUGGCUAAGAGGAUGGAAGGAAACCAGGAGUCAAGAAAUGUAGGCCACUUCUAGACUCUGGAAAAGGCAAGAAAACUGCUUCUUCCCUAGAGUUUCCAGAAGGAACACAGCCCUGCCCUGAAACCCAUUUCAGACUUCUGCCCUCCAGAACUGUAACAUAAUAAAUUUGCUUCUUUAAGCCAAUUAAGUUUAUGACCAUUAGUUGUAGCAGCAAAAAGAAUAUAAAUACAGGGCUGGGGUUGUGGCUCAGCCAUAGAGCACUUGCCUAGCACAUUCGAGGCCUUGGGUUCGAUCCUCACCACAUAAAAAUAAAUAAAUAAAAUGAAGGUAUUGUGUCCAACUGAAAAAAAAAAAAAAAAGAAAAGAAAUACACAGGGUUUAAGAGUGAAGACCAGUAACAGAUACAGAACUAAAGGGUUGAAUGAGGGUUUCUCUGCCUGUUGCCAUAGACUCCUCUCUCUAGUGGUGGUCCAGAGGAAACCCAUCACUCCAAGUUUUCCAAGAGUGUUAUCUUUUUUUUUUUUUUGAGUUUUCGGCAGACACAACAUCUUUG
rnacentral:lncRNA from 1 species